GUGACCACAACCCAUGACUGCGAUAAGAAAGAAGAAGAGAAAUUUUUCCCUUUUUUUUUAUUCCUUUCUUUUUUUUUCUUUCUUUCUUUCUUUGCUAUUUAUUUUUCCUUUCUUUGCUUUUCCUCUUUUCCCACCCAUCCACACACACACACAUGGAAAGAGAGAGGAAGAGAGAGGGUCUCUCCUCUAGUCUUCUUCUCCUUCUUUCCUUCUUCUUCGUCCACCCAAACAACACACACGCACACAAUAGGGAAGAGGGGGAAGCAAGAAAGAAAGAGAGAGAGAAGGAAAGAGAGCACACGAGAGAGAGGGAGAGUGAGAGAGAGAGUGUGUGUGGGAG
rnacentral:lncRNA from 1 species